UACGAAGGGGGCUAGCGUUGUUCGGAAUCACUGGGCGUAAAGCGCACUUAGGCGGAUGUGUCAGUCAGGGGUGAAAUCCCGGGGCUCAACCUCGGAACUGCCUUUGAUACAGCAAAUCUCGAGUCCGGAAGAGGUGGGUGGAAUUCCUAGUGUAGAGGUGAAAGUCGUAGAUAUUAGGAAGAACACCAGUGGCGAAGGCGGCCCACUGGUGCGGUACUGACGUUGAGGUGCGAAAGCGUGGGGAGCAAACAGG
rnacentral:rRNA from 1 species